GCAUAUCAAUAAGCGGAGGAAAAGAAACCAACAGGGAUUGCCUUCAGUAACGGCGAAGUGAAGCGGCAAGAGCUCAAAUUUGAAAUCUGGCCCCCCGCGGGGGUCCGAGUUGUAAUUUGGAGAGGAUGCUUCGGGCACGGCCCCCGUCUAAGUGCCCUGGAACGGGCCGUCAUAGAGGGUGAGAAUCCCGUCUGGGACGGGUGGCCGGGCCCGUGUGAAGCUCCUUCGACGAGUCGAGUUGUUUGGGAAUGCAGCUCUAAAUGGGUGGUAAAUUUCAUCUAAAGCUAAAUAUUGGCCGGAGACCGAUAGCGCACAAGUAGAGUGAUCGAAAGAUGAAAAGCACUUUGAAAAGAGAGUUAAACAGCACGUGAAAUUGUUGAAAGGGAAGCGCUUGCGACCAGACUCGCCCGGGGGGGCUCAGCCGGCACUCGUGCCGGUGCACUCCCCCCCGGGCGGGCCAGCGUCGGUUCGGACGGCCGGUCAAAGGCCCCCGGAAUGUAGCACCCUCCGGGGUGUCUUAUAGCCGGGGGUGCAAUGCGGCCAGUCCGGACCGAGGAACGCGCUUCGGCUCGGACGCUGGCGUAAUGGUCGUAAGCGGCCCGUCUUGAAACACGGACCAAGGAGUCUAACAUCCACGCGAGUGUUCGGGUGUCAAACCCGUCCGCGCAGUGAAAGCGAACGGAGGUGGGAACCCCCCCGCGGGGUGCACCAUCGACCGAUCCUGAUGUCUUCGGAUGGAUUUGAGUAAGAGCGUGGCUGUUGGGACCCGAAAGAUGGUGAACUAUGCCUGAAUAGGGCGAAGCCAGAGGAAACUCUGGUGGAGGCUCGCAGCGGUUCUGACGUGCAAAUCGAUCGUCAAAUUUGGGUAUAGGGGCGAAAGACUAAUCGAACCAUCUGGUAGCUGGUUCCUGCCGA
rnacentral:rRNA from 1 species